rfam:Cajanus cajan chromosome 1, whole genome shotgun sequence.
UUAUGAAGGCAGCAUGGUUGUGGGCACGGAAAUUGAUCGUAUUGGGUCAACAUGUCUGCUCUCACUGAUGAAAACAAUGAUUUGAGGGCCUGGUUGUAACCCACAUUU